rnacentral:rRNA from 1 species
AUUGAACGCUGGCGGCAGGCCUAACACAUGCAAGUCGAGCGAGCGGCGGACGGGUGAGUAAUGUCUGGGAAACUGCCUGCUGGAGGGGGAUAACUACUGGAAACGGUAGCUAAUACCGCAUACCAUCAGAUGUGCCCCGAUGGGAUUAGCUCGUAGGUGGGGUAACGGCUUACCUAGGCGACGAUCCCUAGAUGGUCUGAGAGGAUGACCAGCCAAAAUGGAACAGAGAAACGGACCAAACGCCUACAGGAGGCAGCAGGGGGGAAUAUUGCGCAAUGGGAGCAAGCCGGAUGCAGCGAUGCCGCGUGUGUGAAGAAGGCCUUCGGGUUGUAAGGCACUUUCAGCGGGGAGGCGUUAACCGCAGAAGAAGCACCGGCUAACGCCGUGCCAGCAGCCGCGGUAAUAC